rnacentral:rRNA from 1 species
AUUGAACGCUGGCGGCAUGCUUUACACAUGCAAGUCGAACGGCAGCGCGGGCUUCGGCCUGGCGGCGAGUGGCGAACGGGUGAGUAAUGCAUCGGAACGUGCCCAGUAGUGGGGGAUAGCCCGGCGAAAGCCGGAUUAAUACCGCAUACGACCUGAGGGUGAAAGCGGGGGACCGAAAGGCCUCGCGCUAUUUGAGCGGCCGAUGUCGGAUUAGCUAGUUGGUUGGGUAAAGGCUUACCAAGGCGACGAUCCGUAGCUGGUCUGAGAGGACGACCAGCCACACUGGGACUGAGACACGGCCCAGACUCCUACGGGAGGCAGCAGUGGGGAAUUUUGGACAAUGGGGGCAACCCUGAUCCAGCCAUGCCGCGUGCGGGAAGAAGGCCUUCGGGUUGUAAACCGCUUUUGUUCGGGAAGAAAUCCUCUGGGCUAAUACCCCGGGGGGAUGACGGUACCGGAAGAAUAAGCACCGGCUAACUACGUG